GGAUGCAAAAGUCGUAACACGGUUUCCGUAGGUGAACCUGCGGAAGGAUCAUUCACACAGUUUGAACGCCUAGAACGCGCUGCUGCUGGAUUUGCAGGUUUCAAGCGUCAGCUUUUUGCCUGGGUGGUCAGCUAGCAGUCGGUCGGUCUUGGGUGUUGGAAAGGAAAAUUUGUUACAUCCCAAUCUUUGAAUCGUUUUUUCUCAGCAACGAUUUUUCUACUAUUAAAAAAUUAAAAGGGAUAUUGGUCUUGCGAGGCAUGUGCUAGUAGUAUGGGCGUGAGCGAUGGGGGAGAAGUGGUGGUGCAUGCGUGGGCUUGCAUGCGUGGGGCUUGUCGGUGGCAGCCCCAGCGUGCCAGCCCCAGCCCCAUGACCAGCCCCAUAGUCGUCGAUCACGACGAGGCGAGAGAAUUAUGAUGAGACUGCUGUGCGAUCGGUCUCUCUGUCUCCUUCGCGUGCUUGUUGCUCGAAGCUACUAUGCCUCAGCAUGACAAUGUUUUUUUGCUCAAAAUGGAGUGAUAUCAUUCUAGUAUUUGAGUAAAAAAGAAGGAAAAUGUAUGGUAGAAGAAAAAACUUUCAGCAAUGGAUGUCUUGGCUCACGCAUCGAUGAAGGACGCAGCGAAAUGCGAUACGCAUUGUGAAUUGCAGAUUUCAGUGAACCAUCAGAUUUCUGAACGCACAUGGCGCUGCUGGUAUUUUGCCCGCAGCACGUCUGUUUCAGUGUCUCUUAACAACUUCUACUAGUAUACCAUGCUUCGCUCUCUGUUCCUCAUGUUCCUGGUAGUGUGAAGGUUCGGUGGUUUUAUGCACAGAAGCAAGCUCUUGCAAGUUUCUGUUGUGAGUCACGGAACUAUCUACCCGGAGAAGGGGAGGAGGUAGACAGUUUGGUGUCAUUUGGGUGUCGUUGCACUUGUGUUGGAGCAAGUGUGGCGUCUCUCUAAAUUGUUGUCGGCAGGGGUGCUGUGUCUAUAAUGCGCACAGCACUAGGAUAUGCCUGUGCUUUCUCUCUUUUGUCGUCGUAUAUGCUCCUUUCAUUCUGAAAGAGAGGGAGAUACGGUGAUUGUGUAUCACAAUACGCACAGCACACGUUUGUCUCACUGUGGACGAAUGUUUAAAAGGGCUAUAUGGCAAAGGCUAGAGGAGGAGGUGCAUGGGUAUAUAUGUGAUGCCGCGAGAUGACACACAAAUACAACGCACUAGUGUGUGUUGUGUGGAUGUGUGUUGUUUCAGUAUAUGUAUGUAUAGACCUGAAAUCAGUCGAGGUUACCCGCUGAAUUUAAGCAUAUUAUUAAGCGGAGGA
rnacentral:sRNA from 1 species